GGAUGUGAGGGCGAUCUGGCUGCGACAUCUGUCACCCCAUUGAUUGCCCGCGUUGAUUCGGCUGAUCUGGCUGACUAGGUGGGUGUCCCCUUUCUCCCUCAUUGCUCCAUGUGCGUCCCUCCCGAAGCUGUGCGCUAUGUCAAAGAGGACGGCCUUCGCCGAAUAGAGAUGGACCGGUCUUCCGUGGAGGGUAUACGUGUAGUUGCGCUCCCCUGCUAGAACCUCCAAACAAGCUCUCAAGAAAACCAAGAGGAAAUGGCAACUAUAGAACAGAGGCUGCUUAU
ensembl:misc_RNA 7SK 7SK RNA